AAGAAUGGAGAUCAGUCGUUGAAGGAAGAGCAGAAAUAGAAGAAGGAAAUGAAGAAGUAGAAAUUUUCUUAUUCUUCCUUUUUUCUUUUUUAUAAUUUAACAUCGCUGGGUAAUCAAGAGGAAUACAUUUUGAGACCUUAAAAAUCUCAUCUCCAUCUCUUUCUCUUCCUCUCCGUAAGCUCACAAUCUGUUGGUUAGGAUCAAUAUUG
rnacentral:ribozyme from 13 species